GAAAUGCGAUAAGUAAUGUGAAUUGCAGAAUUCAGUGAAUCAUCGAAUCUUUGAACGCACAUUGCGCCCGCCAGUAUUCUGGCGGGCAUGCCUGUUCGAGCGUCAUUACAAACCUCAGGCCCCCGGGCCUGGCGUUGGGGAUCGGCGGAAGCCCCCUGCGGGCACAACGCCGUCCCCCAAAUACAGUGGCGGUCCCGCCGCAGCUUCCAUUGCGUAGUAGCUAACACCUCGCAACUGGAGAGCGGCGCGGCCACGCCGUAAAACACCCAACUUCUGAAUGUUGACCUCGAAUCAGGUAGGAAUACCCGCUGAACUUAAGC
rnacentral:misc_RNA from 1 species